UACGAAGGGGGCUAGCGUUGUUCGGAAUUACUGGGCGUAAAGCGCACGUGGGCUGAUAGUUAAGUGAGGGGUGAAAUCCCAAGGCUCAACCUUGGAACUGCCCUUCAUACUGGCUAUCUCGAGUCCGGAAGAGGUUAGUGGAAUUCUCAGUGUAGAGGUGAAAUUCGUGGAUAUUGAGAAGAACACCGGUGGCGAAGGCGGCUAACUGGUCAGGUACUGACGCUGAGGUGCGAAAGCGUGGGGAGCAAACGGG
rnacentral:rRNA from 1 species